AUUGAACGCUGGCGGCAUGCUUUACACAUGCAAGUCGAACGCUGAAGCCCUUCGGGGUGGAUGAGUGGCGAACGGGUGAGUAACACGUGGGUAAUCUGCCCUGCACUCUGGGAUAAGCCUUGGAAACGGGGUCUAAUACCGGAUAGGACACAUCGCCGCAUGGUGUGUGUGUGGAAAGUUCCGGCGGUGCAGGUUGAGCCCGCGGCCUAUCAGCUUGUUGGUGGGGUGAUGGCCUACCAAGGCGACGACGGGUAGCCGGCCUGAGAGGGUGACCGGCCACACUGGGACUGAGACACGGCCCAGACUCCUACGGGAGGCAGCAGUGGGGAAUCUUGCGCAAUGGGCGAAAGCCUGACGCAGCAACGCCGCGUGGGGGAUGACGGCCUUCGGGUUGUAAACCCCUUUCGACCGGGACGAAGGAUUCGUUUGACGGUACCGGUAGAAGAAGCACCGGCUAACUACGUGCCAGCCGCCGCAGUAA
rnacentral:rRNA from 1 species